ACGGCCGCGGUAUUUUGACCGUGCGAAGGUAGCGCAAUCACUUGUCUUUUAAAUGGAGACCUGUAUGAAUGGCACCACGAGGGCUUAACUGUCUCCCUCUCCCAGUCAAUGAAAUUGAUCUCCCCGUGCAGAAGCGGGGAUAAAAACAUAAGACGAGAAGACCCUAUGGAGCUUAAGACGCCAGAGCAGCCCACGUUAAACACCCUAAAACAAAAGAUAAAACAAAGUGGACCCCGCUCUAGUGUCUUUGGUUGGGGCGACCGCGGGGAAAAACUUAACCCCCAUGUGGAAUAGGAGUACUAUACUCUCAAAUCCAAGAGCUCCCGCUCUAAUAAACAGAAUUUCUGACCAACAAGAUCCGGCAGUGCCGAUCAACGGACCCGAGUUACCCUAGGGAUAACAGCGCAAUCCUCUUAAAGAGCCCUUAUCGCAAGGGGGGUUUACGACCUCGAUGUUGGAUCAGGACAUCCUAAUGGUGC
rnacentral:rRNA from 1 species